UACGGAGGGUGCAAGCGUUAUCCGGAUUCACUGGGUUUAAAGGGUGCGUAGGCGGAUAGGUAAGUCCGUGGUGAAAUCCUGCAGCUUAGCUGCAGAACUGCCGUGGAUACUAUCUAUCUUGAAUAUCGUGGAGGUUAGCGGAAUAUGUCAUGUAGCGGUGAAAUGCUUAGAUAUGACAUAGAACACCCAUUGCGAAGGCAGCUAACUACGCGAUCAUUGACGCUGAUGCACGAAAGCGUGGGGAUCAAACAGG
rnacentral:rRNA from 1 species